rnacentral:lncRNA from 1 species
GGAGAAGUCAUUCGGUGAGUUUUGAGUGAAAUCCAAUGGCUAAAACUAUGCAAUACACCAACCACUCCAUUUGCGUAAUGAACUUCGCAUGAACUUGAAUUGUCCAAUUUCAUUGGCCAAUCGAUAUUGGAUUGAGCCCAAAACUUGGUCAACUUCAAAAAAUGGUGGGAGGAGUAAUUUUGAGAGUUUUGAGUGAAAUCCAAUCUCAAAAACCAAGCAAUACAC